rnacentral:rRNA from 1 species
UACGGAGGAUCCGAGCGUUAUCCGGAUUUAUUGGGUUUAAAGGGAGCGUAGGUGGAUUGUUAAGUCAGUUGUGAAAGUUUGCGGCUCAACCGUAAAAUUGCAGUUGAAACUGGCAGUCUUGAGUACAGUAGAGGUGGGCGGAAUUCGUGGUGUAGCGGUGAAAUGCUUAGAUAUCACGAAGAACUCCGAUUGCGAAGGCAGUUCACUGGACUGCAACUGACACUGAGGCUCGAAAGUGUG